rnacentral:sRNA from 1 species
GGCAUUGUGGUACUGAUGCAGAAGCUAGUAGAUUGGUUAAAAGUCUGGACUUCUGUGGCAUUUUUUUCGUGACGUGGAAAUCUAUCAUGAGCAGACCUAAGCACAGUUUUAUGGACACAGUUUUGCCCAUGACAUUGCCUACCGGAUUUCCAGAUGUGACUUGCACUCAGAAGAUCAGUGGUCAACUUCAGAAGCUCUUCCACACUUAGAUCAUGUCUUCAGAACUUAGAUGUGAAAAUCUACACGCUGGGAGAUGCUGUGAGCCCCAGGGUUUUGGUGGAGUUAGCUUGGAAUCCUCUUGACUUCAUGCCACACUGACGUGAACUUUGAUGUAUAAUAAGCAGCAGCAACUUCAUGUGAAAAUAUUGUCAGGACACGGGCAAACAUGCUGAUUGGUGCAAAUGUGGUGCCGAGCUGUCCAUAGCUGUAGUGAAAGAUGACGAGCAAGACCUUCUCCAGGUUUUCUAGCUUUCAUUAAAUGUAUUUUUUCCCCAGAGCUAAUUUGAAAGUUGAUUGAACCAUUGUGGAUGGG